rnacentral:lncRNA from 1 species
GAGCAGGAGGAGGAGGAGGGAGGACCAGAGCAGCAGGAGGGGGAGGGAGGGCCGGAGCAGGCGAGCAGCAGAGGGCGACCGGGAGAGGGAGAGGGAAAGGAGGCAGAGACCAGGAGAGGGAGAGGAGGCGGAGGAGGCAGACCGGGAGAGGGAGAGGAGGCGGAGGAGGCAGAAAAGGAGCUAGGGUUUUUCUGCUGUCGAGCGCUGGGUGUUCGCCUCUAUACCCGACAACUUUAGCAGACGAAAUUAUUAUUUCGUCGGCUAAGAUUAUAAUCUUGUCGGCUAAAUCUUUGAAAUUCUUCGGCUAAAUCUUUGAAAUUCGUCGGCUAAACCUUUGAAAUUCGUCGGCUAAAUCUUUGAAAUUUCGUCGGCUAAGAUUAUAAUCUCGUCGGCUAAAUCUUUGAAAUUCUUCGGCUAAAUCUUUGAAAUUCGUCGGCUAAACCUUUGAAAUUCGUUGGCUAAAUCUUUGAAAUUCUUCGGCUAAAUCUUUGAAAUUCGUCGGCUAAACCUUUGAACUUCGUCGGCUAUAGUACUUUUUAUACAUUCGGCAAAUUGUGAUUGUGAUGAUCAAACUUGAGAAACAAAAAUCCGACCGUCAGAUCUGACCAUCAUGAUAAAAUACAUGUAUGGGAAAAAAUUCAACUUGAUCCCACAAGGUUAAGGGCUCGAUCCGAACUAUCAAUCCAUUAAGUCAAACCCCUAAACGCACGGAAAAAGUCAUUGGACCGUCUAAAUUACGUAUUUUGGCCGGACCUUCAACUGAAAAUAGUUUCAAACCGAUGAGACGCAAUAAGUCGUAUAAAAAUUUUACGCAAAAUAACCAUCGAAGAUAGGGCUACUCAUAGGGAGAAAGAAUGAAAAAUUGCAUUGACCGUAACUACCGGCACCGAAACUUUACCGGAAUACUGUGAUUUUUCAACCGUGAACGUAUUUCACCAUUCUGGUCAUAUCUUAUUUCACGACCUUUUUGUGUUUGAAGGUUUUACGUAUAGUUUGUUUUUGAAACGGAACAUUUACUUAACACUUGGUAAACCAGUUAUACAACAUUAGUAGGCAUGUUGUGAUUGUGAUGAUCAAACUUGAGAAACGGAAAUCCGACCGUCAGAUCUGACCAACAUGACAAAAUACAUGUAAGGGCAAAAAUUCAACUUGAUCCGACAAGGUUAAGAGCUCGAUCCGGACGGUCAAUCUGUUAAGUCAAACCCCUAAACGCACGGAAAAAGUCAUUGGACCGUCUAAAUUACGUAUUUUGGCCCGACCUUCAACUGAAAAUAGUUUCAAACCGAGGAGAUGCAACAAGUCGUAUAAAAAUUUUACGCAAAUAACCACUGAAGAUAAGGCUACUCAUAGGGAGAAAGAAUGAAAAAUUGCAUUGACCGCAACUAUCGGCACCGAAACUUUACCGGAAUACUAUGAUUUUUCAAUCGUGGACGUAUUUCACCAUUCUGGUCAUAUCUUAUUUCACGACUUUUUUGCGUUUGAAGGUUUUACGUAUAGUUUGUUUUUGAAACGUAACAUUUACUUUACACUUGGUAAACAAGUUAUACAACAUUAGUAAGCAUGUUAUGAUUGUGAUGAUCAAGCUUGAGAAACAGAAAUCCGACCGUCAGAUCUGACCAUCAUGACAAAAUACAUGUAUGGGCAAAAAUUCAACUUGAUCCGACAAGGUUAAGGGCUCGAUCCGAGCGGUCAAUCCCGUAAGUCAAACCCCUAAAUGCACGGAAAGGGUCGUUGGACCGUCUAAAUUUCGUAUUUUGGCCGGACCUUCAACUGAAAAUAGUUUCAAAUCGAUGAGACGCAACAAGUCGUAUAAAAAUUUUACGCAAAAUAACCACUGAAGAUAGGGCUAUAGUAUGUAAUAGAAAAAAUUUAGGGUUUAGCUGACGAAUACCCUAAUAUAUUCGUCGGCUAUAGUAUGUAAUAAAAAAUAAAAAAAUAAAUAAAGCCGACGAAAUAUUAGGGUAUUCGUCGGCUAAAGUGAUCUUAACCAACGACUUAUAAUAUAAUUCGUCGGCUAAGAUGGUUUAGGCCGACGAAUUAUGGUGUAUUUCGUCGGCUAAAGUAUAAAAAAUACAUUAAAAACUGAAGUUUUAAUGUAAACCAUACUCACUUCCUGUUCAUAUAUCACCAAAAUUCAUAUAAAAUAACAGAAAUAUGAAUUCAACAUAUGUAAACUAUAAAGGUAAUACAUUCUUUUUUAUUACAAAUUAAUGUAUUACGUCCUCUAAAUUAAAACUAAGGCUCGUAAUCGGAAUCAUCCGAUGAGUCUUCUUCGGUGUCAGAAUUAAUUUCUGGUAAUCUAUGCAUUUCCUCAUCGACAGAGUCUUCGUCUGUUUCUUGAUUUGGAUCAACAUCAAUAAGCCUUGGCUCUUCAUCACGAAUUCGCACCGAACGACCCGCUUUAAAAUUAUUAAGGCGAACGGUAGAGGAGUUAGGAAUACCUAUUGCGUUAGGCUCUUGAUACGCAACAUCUUCUUCCUCGCCUUCGGCCUCUCCAAGUGUAGCCGCCCGGUAAAUGUUUCGAGGGUGCACAAGGUUGAUUACUUUCCACACGUCACCCUUAGCAAGGUCAUCAAGAUAAAACACUUGUUGUACCGAUGUGGCAAAAACGAACGGGUCAUUUUCGUAACAACUUGUAGCAGUGUUCACCGAUAAUAUUCCGUACUGAUCGGUCUUCAUGCUCUGCGGCCUAGUAUCAAACCAUCUACACUUGAAGAGGUGCACUGUCAUGCCUUGCCCAUAAACGAGUUUCACCACUGAAUGGAGAACACCGUAAUAGUCAACUCCAUUCCGCCCACCAUGCGUCAUCACCCCAGAAUUCUGUGUUCUCCGUCUGCUGUCUCUCUGUUCACAUAUAAAUUGCACGCCAUUCAUCUUGCACAUCGGAUAAACUCUUGACAUUAUCGGCUUCAUCGCUAGAAGUCUUAGUUCGUGCGACCAAUUUGGGUGACCAUCAAAUUGAAUAUAGUUCAUCUGCAACCAAUCAUUCAACUGUAAAUAUGGAUAAUUAUGUAAUAAACAUAAAUACGGAGAGAAAUAUUGAAUUACGUACCCAGCCGCCAAAAUAGUUUGCGAACUUCCUGUUGUGGUACUCGAAAUCACCUUGAAUGCUUGGACAAUAUAGAUGGAUGUCUUUCUAGUAUUCAACUUCUAGACAGUUAAUCAAUACCCACCAGUGGGCAAUGACUAGCUCAUGUGGUUGCAACUUGUAGGAGUCUGGCAAAAUUCCAUAAACUUCAACAUCACUGGAGAGUAUGGAAAGAUUGAACGUCAGUACAUCUACCGGUAUGGUUUGCGGAGUUUCCUUCAACGCUCCUAAAUACAACUUCAUGUAGGUGAUGCACUCGUGCGCAAUAUAUGCUUCAGCUAUACAUCCUUCAGGCGCGGAUUUAUUAGCCACAUAAUCUUUGUAGUCUCCAAGUUGCUUGUAAAUCAAGUUGCAAAGUGUUAUGAUUAUUGAACAUGUAUAUAUAUUGAGGAAUUCAGGUGUAAAAAACGUACCUUUCCAUGGGAUACAUCCAAGUGUAGUGUACUGGACCGGUAAGCAACAAUUACCCGGGAAGAUGGAUCAUCAGGUGAGGCAUGAUGUCAAAAAAAUUUGGAGGAAAUAUCCUCUCAAAUUUACACAUGAUAUAAAUGAUGUCCUCUUGCAUUUCCAGAAGGUUAGAUUUUUUCACUUCCCGUGUGCAUAACGCUACUAACGGCUACUAACGAUACUGGAAGAAUCUUGCCAACGCUACUAACGGCUCCACCACCAGACGGGAAAGGAACGGUCGAAUGAAAACAGGGAAGAGACGUUGUAGCAGGAUAUGACAGUCAUGACUCUUCAACCCGUACAUCUUAUUGUCCCGGAAGUUCACACACCGGGCUAUAUUUCCUGCAUAGCCUGAAGGAUACUUCACACAACUCAUCCACUUGAAAUUACGUUCUUCUGGUCAGGCUUCACGGUGUAAGGAGCUUGAGGCAUUUUUUCCUUCCC